UGCGCACGCAAUAACAACUUG
rnacentral:misc_RNA from 1 species